GAUGAACGUUAGCGGUGUGCCUAAUGCAUGCAAGUCGAACGAGAACUUUUGGAUUCGUCUGAAAGGGAAAGUGGCGGACGGGUGAGUAACACGUAGGUGACGUACCCCAGAGAGAGGGACAACCAUUGGAAACGAUGGCUAAUACCUCAGAUGUUAUACUGUUUAGAAAGGUAUAACUAAACGCUCCGGUGCUCUGGGAGUGGCCUGCGGCCCAUCAGCUAGUUGGUAAGGUAACGGCUUACCAAGGCAAAGACGGGUAGGGGGCGUGAGAGCGCGAUCCCCCACACUGGUACUGAGACACGGACCAGAUACCUGCGGGUAGCAGCAGCAAGGAAUAUUGCGCAAUGGGCGAAAGCCUGACGCAGCAACACCGCGUGGAGGAUGAAUGUCUUCGGAUUGUAAACUCCUUUUCUGGGGGAAGAGAUAGGACGGUACCCCAGGAAUAAGUCUCGGCUAACUACGUGCCAGCAGCCGCGGUAAAACGUAGGAGGCAAACGUUAUCCGGAAUUACUGGGCGUAAAGCGCAUGCAGGCGGUUUUUUAAGUCGGACGUGAAAGCUCUUGGCUCAACUGAGAGAGGCCGUUCGAAACUAAAAGAC
rnacentral:rRNA from 1 species